GACGAACGCUGGCGGCGUGCCUAAUACAUGCAAGUCGAGCGGACUUUCAAGAAGCUUGCUUUUUGAAAGUUAGCGGCGGACGGGUGAGUAACACGUGGGCAACCUGCCUGCAAGACGGGGAUAACUCCGGGAAACCGGGGCUAAUACCGGAUAAUAUCUUCCUUCGCAUGAAGGAAGGUUGAAAGGCGGCGCAAGCUGCCGCUUGCAGAUGGGCUCGCGGCGCAUUAGCUAGUUGGUGAGGUAACGGCUCACCAAGGCGACGAUGCGUAGCCGACCUGAGAGGGUGAUCGGCCACACUGGGACUGAGACACGGCCCAGACUCCUACGGGAGGCAGCAGUAGGGAAUCUUCCGCAAUGGACGAAAGUCUGACGGAGCAACGCCGCGUGAGCGAAGAAGGUCUUCGGAUCGUAAAGCUCUGUUGUCAGGGAAGAACAAGUACCGUUCGAACAGGGCGGUACCUUGACGGUACCUGACCAGAAAGCCACGGCUAACUACGUG
rnacentral:rRNA from 1 species